rnacentral:rRNA from 1 species
CAAGUCGAACGAGACCUUCGGGUCUAGUGGCGCACGGGUGCGUAACGCGUGGGAAUCUGCCCUUUGCUACGGAAUAACUCAGAGAAAUUUGUGCUAAUACCGUAUAAUGUCGAAAGACCAAAGAUUUAUCGGCAAAGGAUGAGCCCGCGUAGGAUUAGCUAGUUGGUGAGGUAAAGGCUCACCAAGGCGACGAUCCUUAGCUGGUCUGAGAGGAUGAUCAGCCACACUGGGACUGAGACACGGCCCAGACUCCUACGGGAGGCAGCAGUGGGGAAUAUUGGACAAUGGGCGAAAGCCUGAUCCAGCAAUGCCGCGUGAGUGAUGAAGGCCUUAGGGUUGUAAAGCUCUUUUACCAGGGAUGAUAAUGACAGUACCUGGAGAAUAAGCUCCGGCUAACUCCGUGCCAGCAGCCCGCGGUAAUACGGAGGGAGCUAGCGUUGUUCGGAAUUACUGGGCGGAAAAGCGCACGUAGGCGGCGACC